UUGUGGAGCCGAAACCGGAAGACCAGGCGGACCAGCCAAACCUGAAAGGCUGAAAUGCAACCGCUGCCUAGGCUUCCUCCUCUCUUCUUCCUUCCUUCCCCAGUCCCUCCUUCCGUUCUCGCGCAUAGCACGAAGGAAAUUACAACAUCUGAUCCACGUACAGCACAGCACGUAUCCAGGCACCACCGCAGGACAUGCUCGCUGAGAAACGCAGAAAUUAACGAUGGCAGGUUCAACAGAAGCCGCUUCGUCGGAGGAAAGGCCAACGAUUUUCGAGCCCUGCAGAAGUAGCAGCAGCAGCAGCAGCAGCAGCGAAGAUGACGAGCUGUCGGAGCCCAUGGCAGGCAUCGCGAAGUCGCAAGAACAGCGACAUCAACAACAGGUGAAGGAGGCAUGGAGGCUCAACGACGGGGGUGAGCUCAUGUCCAUGAUGAUGGUGGCCGGAGGGUUUGCAGUAGCCGUCGCUGCAGCUUUCAUCGCCAACAAAAAGUGCUGACAAAUCACAACAUCACCGGCAGCCGGCGCAGGAGCUGCGGAAAGACCUUCCUGUUUUCACCCAACCUUUUGGCUUCCCAUCUGUAUGUUUUCGCCGUUUAACAUAUCAAAAGGAGCACUGUAUUAUUACAGGAAGAUUCCUUGCAACGCUUCAAGGAUCGAUUACAUAUGUAAAAGCAUUAGCCUAACUGUGCUUAUUCGUGAAUGACACCAGAAUGGCAGAAUUACAUUCAUUCGCAUUACUACAGGUAGAUCAGUAGGAGGGAUCCAGCCCGAGAUGUAUAUUGUAUUCCAGUAAAACUCAUGUGAUAUCGUUUUCACCUAUAGUUGUUUGCUAACAUGGUACGAUGAAAACAAACUGUUCCAGAUGUACAAAGAAUACAA